UGGGGAAUCUUGGACAAUGGGCGCAAGCCUGAUCCAGCCAUGCCGCGUGAGUGAAGAAGGCCUUAGGGUUGUAAAGUUCUUUUGCCAGGGACGAUAAUGACGGUACCUGGAGAAUAAGCCCCGGCAAACUUCGUGCCAGCAGCCGCGGUAAUACGAAGGGGGCUAGCGUUGUUCGGAUUUACUGGGCGUAAAGCGCACGUAGGCGGGUCGUUAAGUCAGGGGUGAAAUCCCGGAGCUCAACUCCGGAACUGCCUUUGAUACUGGCGACCGUGAGGCUGGAAGAGGUUAGUGGAAUUCCCAGUGUAGAGGUGAAAUUCGUAGAUAUUGGGAAGAACACCAGUGGCGAAGGCGGCUAACUGGUCCAGAUCUGACGCUGAGGUGCGAAAGCGUGGGGAGCAAACA
rnacentral:rRNA from 1 species